CUAUAACUCUAGUAGCUGCUAGCUGCCAUAUUACCUUUAAUUUGUAUUAGUUUAGAUAUGUCUUUAAAAUAAUUUAGUAUACCUUCCAUGGAGAGGUGUUCUCUAAAUAAAUUAAUUCAAACACUAUUCAUAUUCCUCGUUAGUGUAUAUAGAUUUGCCAAAGAGUCUUUAAACACUUGUACCACUGACCCUAGAAAUGCUUUCUUUGGUCAUUGGCUGGCAAGCACUGCUGCUUUAUCUCCUGUUCUGAGACUGCUGUAUUUGUUAAUAUUCAACCCACAGAUCACAUAUUUUCCAGGGUCUAACAGGCCCGUAGGAAAGAAACUUAUUGUAAUAUUCCACAAAAUCAUCUGCUAAAUCAGCCCAUGAACUUCCUGUUCUUUUGAUGGUCACCCUGGGAGAUGGGGCUCCCUGGAGUGUGCGCAUGAAGUGCAGAGGUUGUUGGGACAGAGCUUAGGGAGAAUGUACAUGCUUCAGCUAAAGUGUGGGAGUUUUAACUCUGUGUGCCCCUGGGUGAAACUGUUAUGUUCUCUUUGCCUUAGUUUCCUCAAAUAUAAAAUGGAGAUAAUAAUAGUACCUAUUUAUAGUCUUAUUUUGAAGAUUAAACUUGGCUUUAGUAAGCAUUUGACAUACAGUUGCUAUUAUUAUGACUAGACUUGGAGGAUUGUGGUGGGGUUUCCCCCUGUCCAUAAUAGAUAACAGGAAGAAGAAGAGGCAAGAAAAUAUGCUGAGAAGGUAAGAUGAUCUCACCUUUCUUUCUUUGAAAUAACAAUGGACAAAAGAACAUGCAAAAAAAAUCGUUGGUGUACAAUGUGAUUCACGCAAUAAUAAAAGUAUGUUCAAGGUAAAGAAGGAAUGAUUAACAGGAUAUGGGAUUGGAAGGGCUUUGAGAGGACUACUUGGGCAGAGUUUUUGAAUAAGUGAGUAGUAGUGAUGCUGAUGCAGGAUAUGCCUGGGUUUGGAGAGCACUGUGACAUUGGAAUGGUACUGGAGGAGUGUAUAGUAUGGGAGAUGAGGCCAUAGAGGGAGGCUGGCUUCAGCUUACAAGUGUCAGUGGCUUUACCUCCAUGUAGCUGUGCAUUUGGGUUAGAGCUUCUCAAAGGAGGUGAGUGUUCCCUGAGUCCUUUCUCCCACCCCAUUCCAGAGCUGUCCUAGGCCCCUUAAAAAUCAUUCCCAUUAAAGUGCAGCUUUGGCUGGGCAGUCUUGUUUAGUGUUGUCACGUUUUGUUUUUUUUUCUGUUUGGGAAAUAUUGGUCCCUAACUUCCCAGAUACACCUGUAUCUGUAGUUAUCACUCCUCCACCUCCAGUUGCCCCAGAAACAUCCAGAGAGGCCAGUGAACGUUGCUUGGGAUGCUGUCAGUGUUCCCUCAAAUAUCCUCUUCAGGGCUGACCUUGGAUCCAAAUAAUUUAACUGUGGCACAUCUAUAGAGACAGAUUUACUUAUUAUAGAAAUAAAGUUCCAAGUUCAUAUGGCAAAACAAACCUGCCCAGGAUCAGUGGAGUGAGCUUAGAUGACAUUCCCACAUGAAAUACUGAGGUGCUGGAAGUGUCUGUUUGCCAGGUGUGCCCUGGUGGUCAUGGGGACUGAAGGUAGUGCCCAUGAGGCCCUUCAUCCUACCCAGCAGCAUGUGACUCUGGUAAUGAUAGUCCACACUCUUAGGUGAAACAAAUGUUCUGCCUCUCUCUCUC
rnacentral:lncRNA from 1 species